GCUUCUUUUUCACCGGAGCUUGCUCCACCGGAAAAAGAAGAGUGGCGAACGGGUGAGUAACACGUGGGUAACCUGCCCAUCAGAAGGGGAUAACACUUGGAAACAGGUGCUAAUACCGUAUAACAAUCGAAACCGCAUGGUUUUGAUUUGAAAGGCGCUUUCGGGUGUCGCUGAUGGAUGGACCCGCGGUGCAUUAGCUAGUUGGUGAGGUAACGGCUCACCAAGGCCACGAUGCAUAGCCGACCUGAGAGGGUGAUCGGCCACAUUGGGACUGAGACACGGCCCAAACUCCUACGGGAGGCAGCAGUAGGGAAUCUUCGGCAAUGGACGAAAGUCUGACCGAGCAACGCCGCGUGAGUGAAGAAGGUUUUCGGAUCGUAAAACUCUGUUGUUAGAGAAGAACAAGGAUGAGAGUAACUGUUCAUCCCUUGACGGUAUCUAACCAGAAAGCCACGGCUAACUACGUGCCAGCAGCCGCGGUAAUACGUAGGUGGCAAGCGUUGUCCGGAUUUAUUGGGCGUAAAGCGAGCGCAGGCGGUUUCUUAAGUCUGAUGUGAAAGCCCCCGGCUCAACCGGGGAGGGUCAUUGGAAACUGGGAGACUUGAGUGCAGAAGAGGAGAGUGGAAUUCCAUGUGUAGCGGUGAAAUGCGUAGAUAUAUGGAGGAACACCAGUGGCGAAGGCGGCUUUCUGGUCUGUAACUGACGCUG
rnacentral:rRNA from 1 species